rnacentral:lncRNA from 1 species
GAUUUUGUCAGUGAAAAUUUUGAAAAAGGUAAACAGGUAACAACCCUGCCUGUAAUAUGUCAAUGAUUUUGAGUCUAUCCCUGCCGUUAUUGGAGGGUCUGAAAGUGGCACCUUUGGACAACCAAGAUAUUUUAUGAGUCCAAGGGGUAGGACUUCCCAGGGUCCGCAGAAGAAAUGCUCAAGCGUCAGGUGGCCACCAGAGACCUGCUGCCGGUGGCCAAGGGUAUCAUCCCGGGCCAAGGCUCCAGGUUGGGACGCGGAGACCC